rnacentral:lncRNA from 1 species
ACGAAUUAUUAGUCACAAUCAACCAAAUAAUUAGUUACAAGCACCCAACCCCCAUCUCAUCCCUCCCACAACCACCAUCACUAUCAUCAUUACACCACCACUACAACAGAGCACCACCACCAACAGAGCCACCACCACCUCAUGACAACAUAUCAACACCACCACACCAAUAUAUUCAUCACCACCAAAGAGCGCCGUCGUCACCGGAGCCACCACCUUCACAAUCAGUCACCACAAUGACCAACACUACCAUUAGUCACCACUACAAUCCAUCACCACAUCAACUACCAUUAGUCACCACCACAGAAAUUAGGGAUUAAACGACCAUCAUCUCCUUACCACUACAGCCACAAACAAAACCAGAUCCAAAGAAUUGAAUACCAGAUCCGCAAGUUGUCUUCGACUCACUGGUGCCCGAAAUGACUAGAAUUACCUGCUGGUGGAGAGAAUGGAUACCAGAUCUACAGGUUGUUUUCAAUUUGUUUGUGCAAAAAAACGACCAGAUCUGCAAGUUGUUUUUGAUUCGAUUGUGCCCGAACCACCACCGCCACCAUUCGACGGUGCCCUGAACCCAACGCAGAUCGAAGGAACAGUGUCAAGGAGUUGUUGUGAACGCAACAUAGCAACGCCUUGCUACAGCGGUCGAUGGUGCUUCACUGGCGACAAUGGGGGCCAAUGGCGGAUUUAAGGAUUGACCAGCUAGGGAGGCCGCCCUAGCUGGAUUCGCUAGAGAGAAUUUUUUGUUGUUGAUAAUAGAUAAAAAUUU